rnacentral:rRNA from 1 species
GGCCUAAGACAUGCAGUCGAACGGUAACGACACUAGCUUGCUAGUGGUCGACGAGUGGCGGACGGGUGAGUAACGCGUAGGAAUCUACCUAGUAGUGGGGGAUAGCCAAGGGAAACUUUGGGUAAUACCGCAUACGAUCUAAGGAUGAAAGGGGGCCUCUCUUUGAAGCUCUCGCUAUUAGAUGAGCCUGCGUAAGAUUAGCUUGUUGGUGGGGUAAUGGCCCACCAAGGCGACGAUCUUUAGCUGGUCUGAGAGGAUGAUCAGUCACACUGGAACUGAGACACGGUCCAGACUCCUACGGGAGGCAGCAGUCGGGAAUAUUGGACAAUGGGGGAAACCCUGAUCCAGCCAUGCCGCGUGUGUGAAGAAGGCCCUAGGGUUGUAAAGCACUUUUAGUAGUGAGGAAGGCUCAGUAGUUAAUACCUACUGGGAUUGACGUUAGCUACAGAAAAAGCACCGGCUAAUUUCGUGCCAGCAGCCGCGGUAAUACGAAAGGUGCAAGCGUUAAUCGGAAUUACUGGGCGUAAAGCGCGCGUAGGCGGCUUGGUAAGUUGGUUGUGAAAGCCCCGGGCUCAACCUGGGAACUGCAUCCAAAACUGCCUAGCUAGAGUAUGGUAGAGGAUGGCGGAAUUUCCUGUGUAGCGGUGAAAUGCGUAGAUAUAGGAAGGAACAUCAGUGGCGAAGGCGGCCAUCUGGACCAAUACUGACGCUGAGGUGCGAAAGCGUGGGGAGCAAACAGGAUUAGAUACCCUGGUAGUCCACGCCGUAAACGAUGAGAACUAGCCGUUGGACAUCUUGCACGUUUAGUGGCGCAGCUAACGCGAUAAGUUCUCCGCCUGGGGAGUACGGCCGCAAGGUUAAAACUCAAAUGAAUUGACGGGGGCCCGCACAAGCGGUGGAGCAUGUG